rnacentral:rRNA from 1 species
GAUCCCUGGCUCAGGAUGAACGCUAGCUACAGGCUUAACACAUGCAAGUCGAGGGGCAUCAGGAAGAAAGCUUGCUUUCUUUGCUGGCGACCGGCGCACGGGUGAGUAACACGUAUCCAACCUGCCCUUUACUCGGGGAUAGCCUUUCGAAAGAAAGAUUAAUACCCGAUAGCAUAAUGAUUCCGCAUGGUUUCCUUAUUAAAGGAUUCCGGUAAAGGAUGGGGAUGCGUUCCAUUAGGUUGUUGGUGAGGUAACGG